AAAUUGAAGAGUUUGAUCAUGGCUCAGAUUGAACGCUGGCGGCAGGCCUAACACAUGCAAGUCGAACGGUAACAGGAAGCAGCUUGCUGCUUCGCUGACGAGUGGCGGACGGGUGAGUAAUGUCUGGGAAACUGCCUGAUGGAGGGGGAUAACUACUGGAAACGGUAGCUAAUA
rnacentral:rRNA from 3 species